rnacentral:rRNA from 1 species
UACGUAGGGGGCAAGCGUUAUCCGGAAUUAUUGGGUGUAAAGGGUGCGUAGACGGGAGUCUAAGUUAGUUGUGAAAUCCCUCGGCUCAACUGAGGAACUGCAACUAAAACUGGACAUCUUGAGUGCAGGAGAGGAAAGUGGAAUUCCUAGUGUAGCGGUGAAAUGCGUAGAUAUUAGGAGGAACACCAGUGGCGAAGGCGACUUUCUGGACUGUAACUGACGUUGAGGCACGAAAGUGUGGGGAGCAAACAGG